GAUUAAGUUAUUAAGGGCGCACGGUGGAUGCCUUGGCACUAGAAGCCGAUGAAGGACGUUACUAACGACGAUAUGCUUUGGGGAGCUGUAAGUAAGCUUUGAUCCAGAGAUUUCCGAAUGGGGAAACCCAGCAUGAGUUAUGUCAUGUUAUCGAUAUGUGAAUACAUAGCAUAUCAGAAGGCACACCCGGAGAACUGAAACAUCUUAGUACCCGGAGGAAGAGAAAGAAAAUUCGAUUCCCUUAGUAGCGGCGAGCGAAACGGGAAGAGCCCAAACCAACAAGCUUGCUUGUUGGGGUUGUAGGACACUCUAUACGGAGUUACAAAGGACGACAUUAGACGAAUCAUCUGGAAAGAUGAAUCAAAGAAGGUAAUAAUCCUGUAGUCGAAAAUGUUGUCUCUCUUGAGUGGAUCCUGAGUACGACGGAGCACGUGAAAUUCCGUCGGAAUCUGGGAGGACCAUCUCCUAAGGCUAAAUACUCUCUAGUGACCGAUAGUGAACCAGUACCGUGAGGGAAAGGUGAAAAGCACCCCGGAAGGGGAGUGAAAUAGAACCUGAAACCGUGUGCUUACAAGUAGUCAGAGCCCGUUAAUGGGUGAUGGCGUGCCUUUUGUAGAAUGAACCGGCGAGUUACGAUUUGAUGCAAGGUUAAGCAGUAAAUGUGGAGCCGUAGCGAAAGCGAGUCUGAAUAGGGCGUUUAGUAUUUGGUCGUAGACCCGAAACCAGGUGAUCUACCCUUGGUCAGGUUGAAGUUCAGGUAACACUGAAUGGAGGACCGAACCGACUUACGUUGAAAAGUGAGCGGAUGAACUGAGGGUAGCGGAGAAAUUCCAAUCGAACCUGGAGAUAGCUGGUUCUCUCCGAAAUAGCUUUAGGGCUAGCCUCAAGUGAUGAUUAUUGGAGGUAGAGCACUGUUUGGACGAGGGGCCCCUCUCGGGUUACCGAAUUCAGACAAACUCCGAAUGCCAAUUAAUUUAACUUGGGAGUCAGAACAUGGGUGAUAAGGUCCGUGUUCGAAAGGGAAACAGCCCAGACCACCAGCUAAGGUCCCAAAAUAUAUGUUAAGUGGAAAAGGAUGUGGCGUUGCCCAGACAACUAGGAUGUUGGCUUAGAAGCAGCCAUCAUUUAAAGAGUGCGUAAUAGCUCACUAGUCGAGUGACACUGCGCCGAAAAUGUACCGGGGCUAAACAUAUUACCGAAGCUGUGGAUUGUCCUUUGGACAAUGGUAGGAGAGCGUUCUAAGGGCGUUGAAGCAUGAUCGUAAGGACAUGUGGAGCGCUUAGAAGUGAGAAUGCCGGUGUGAGUAGCGAAAGACGGGUGAGAAUCCCGUCCACCGAUUGACUAAGGUUUCCAGAGGAAGGCUCGUCCGCUCUGGGUUAGUCGGGUCCUAAGCUGAGGCCGACAGGCGUAGGCGAUGGAUAACAGGUUGAUAUUCCUGUACCACCUAUAAUCGUUUUAAUCGAUGGGGGGACGCAGUAGGAUAGGCGAAGCGUGCGAUUGGAUUGCACGUCUAAGCAGUAAGGCUGAGUAUUAGGCAAAUCCGGUACUCGUUAAGGCUGAGCUGUGAUGGGGAGAAGACAUUGUGUCUUCGAGUCGUUGAUUUCACACUGCCGAGAAAAGCCUCUAGAUAGAAAAUAGGUGCCCGUACCGCAAACCGACACAGGUAGUCAAGAUGAGAAUUCUAAGGUGAGCGAGCGAACUCUCGUUAAGGAACUCGGCAAAAUGACCCCGUAACUUCGGGAGAAGGGGUGCUCUUUAGGGUUAACGCCCAGAAGAGCCGCAGUGAAUAGGCCCAAGCGACUGUUUAUCAAAAACACAGGUCUCUGCUAAACCGUAAGGUGAUGUAUAGGGGCUGACGCCUGCCCGGUGCUGGAAGGUUAAGAGGAGUGGUUAGCUUCUGCGAAGCUACGAAUCGAAGCCCCAGUAAACGGCGGCCGUAACUAUAACGGUCCUAAGGUAGCGAAAUUCCUUGUCGGGUAAGUUCCGACCCGCACGAAAGGCGUAACGAUUUGGGCACUGUCUCAACGAGAGACUCGGUGAAAUCAUAGUACCUGUGAAGAUGCAGGUUACCCGCGACAGGACGGAAAGACCCCGUGGAGCUUUACUGUAGCCUGAUAUUGAAAUUCGGCACAGCUUGUACAGGAUAGGUAGGAGCCUUUGAAACGUGAGCGCUAGCUUACGUGGAGGCGCUGGUGGGAUACUACCCUAGCUGUGUUGGCUUUCUAACCCGCACCACUUAUCGUGGUGGGAGACAGUGUCAGGCGGGCAGUUUGACUGGGGCGGUCGCCUCCUAAAAGGUAACGGAGGCGCUCAAAGGUUCCCUCAGAAUGGUUGGAAAUCAUUCAUAGAGUGUAAAGGCAUAAGGGAGCUUGACUGCGAGACCUACAAGUCGAG
rnacentral:rRNA from 1 species